rnacentral:piRNA from 1 species
AAAUGCAUUUGAUCAUUGUCACAGG